UGACCUCGGAUCAGACGUGAUUACCCGCUGAAUUUAAGCAUAUUAUUAAGCGGAGGAAAAAGAAACUAACAAGGAUUCCCCUAGUAACGGCGAGUGAACGGGGAAGAGCCCAACACCGAAUCCCUUGGCGCAAGUCAACGGGAAAUGUGGUGUUAAGGUAGCCCUUCGUGUCAGUCUAGGCGUCUCAAGUCCACCUGAUUGUGGCUCAAGCCCAGAGAGGGUGUAAGGCCCGUAGAGACGCUCCGACUGAUUCCUGGGGUUUACCUACGAGUCGGCUUGUUUGGGAAUGCAGGCCAAAGCGGGUGGUAAACUCCAUCCAAGGCUAAAUACUGGCACGAGUCCGAUAGCGGACAAAGUACCGUGAGGGAAAGUUGAAAAGAACUUUGAAGAGAGAGUUCAAUAGUACGUGAAACCGCUUAGAGGCAAACGGAUGGUGCUCAUACUGGCCUGAGGAAUUCAACUGUGACGGUGGCUGGACGAGGCUGGCGUUCCGAUCUCUCUUUUGGGACGGGCGUCGGUUUGGCUAUCAGCUCCGACAUGGUGCACUUUCCUUGGUGCCUGCCUCCCGCCACGACCCGACGACACUGGCUACCCGCGCGCUGGGGUAAGGUGACAAACUGCUUCGGCAAUUUGUGUUAUAGACCCCGGCGUCGGACAUGGUUUGGCCAGGACGUCGAGCUUGCGGCGCCCGCUCCUUGUGGGCUCGCAUGUUGGCUAGCUUGGCUGCGCCGAUGCUUGCACUGGACAACCAGUAACAGGUGACGGUUGUGGUCUUGUCUCUAGUUGGCCUCUGCGAGUUUGGCGCCUAUAGUCUGUGGUGUACUUGUGGGUAGACUAUCCGACCCGUCUUUGAAACACGGACCAAGGAGUCUAACAUGUGGCGCGAGUCAUGGGGAUUCUACGAAACCCAAAGGCGCAGUGAAAGUAAAGGCCUGCUUCUCGUAGGCUGGGUGGGAUCUCGUGCAUCGCGAAUUGGCGAGCGGCACCACCGGCCCGUCCUAUCUGUCUCUGUCAGUGGGGCGGCGCAAGAGCGUACACGUUGGGACCGAAAGAUGGUGAACUAUGCUUGCGCAGCGAAGUCAGGUGUGGAAACACUGAUGGAGGAGCGCAGCGUUUCUGACGUGCAAAUCGAUCGUCAAACGUGAGUAUAGGGGCGAAAGACUAAAUCGAACCAUCUAGUAGCUGGUUCCCCUCGCCUCGAAGUUUCCCUCAGGAUAGCUGGCUCCGGAAAACAGUUUUAUCCGGUAAAAGCGAAUGAUUAGAGGCAUUGGGGUCGAAACGACCUCGACCUAUUCUCAAACUUUAAAUGGGUAAGAUGCUCGUCUCGCUUAAUGGAGGCGGGCUUCACCUCUCUAUAAACGUGAAUGUGAGUGCCCAGUGGGCCAUUUUUGGUAAGCAGAACUGGCGCUGUGGGAUGAACCAAACGCAAACGCGGCGGUUAAGGCGCCCAAUGCGGACGCUCAUGAGACACCACAAAAGGUGUUGGUCGAUACUGACAGCAGGACGGUGGCCAUGGAAGUCGGAACCCGCUAAGGAGUGUGUAACAACUCACCUGCCGAAUCAACCAGCCCUGAAAAUGGAUGGCGCUGGAGCGUCGGGCCUAUACCGUGCCGUUGGGGCGAAGCAGACAAAUAAUCUGUGUGGAUGUCCCAACGAGUAGGAGGGUCGCCGUGGUGAGCGCAGAAGGUGCGGCCGUGAGGCCCGGCUGGAGCCGCCACGGGCGCAGAUCUUGGUGGUAGUAGCAAUUACUCAAGUGAGAACCUUGAGGACUGAAGUGGAGAAGGGUUCCAUGUGAACAGCAGUUGAACAUGGGUCAGGCGGUCGUCCUAAGCGAUCGGGUAACUCCGUACCUAGACGAGGGUGACAACUAUCACUGAUAAUACUGUGAAGUGUUAUAGCCCUCCGGAGCGAAAGGGAAUCGUGUUAAUAUUCACACGACCCUUACCGUGGAGAUCGCCCUUUCGGGGGGCAAGUGCGGUAACGCAAACGAACACAGAGACGUUCGGGCUGGAGCCCCCCGGAAGAGUUCUCUUUUCUUUGUAAGGAGCGUAGCGUACCCCCCUGGAAUCGGCUUGUCCGGAGAUAGGGGCGUGGCUUCCGUAAAGCAGCAGCGCGGGUCUUGCGCUGCUGUCCGGUGCACUCUAGUCGGCCCUUGAAAAUCUGUGGGAGACAGUGUGAUUUUCACGGUAGGCCGUACUCCAAUCCGCAAGCACCAGGGUCUCAAGGUGAACAGCCUCUAGUCCUAGAACAAUGUAGGUAAGGGAAGUCGGCAAAAUGGAAUCCGUAACUUCGGGAAAAGGAUUGGCUCUGAGGGCUGGGUCGGAUGGGCUGGCGUAAGAAGCUGUUCCGGUUUUGGUGAGGACUGGGUGAGGCUUUCGGGCUUUACUCGGACCAUGCCGAGACAGGCAGUAGACGACGUCAGCGUGUGCUUGUCGUGUUUCA
rnacentral:ncRNA from 1 species